UGGUAAUGCCGGAUGCUCCAGUUGAUCGCAUGGUCUUCUGGGAAAGCUUUCGCGGUAUGGGAUGGGGUCGCGUCCUAUCAGCUUGACGGCGGGGUAACGGCCCACCGUGGCUUCGACGGGUAGCCGGCCUGAGAGGGCGACCGGCCACAUUGGGACUGAGAUACGGCCCAGACUCCUACGGGAGGCAGCAGUGGGGAAUAUUGCACAAUGGGCGCAAGCCUGAUGCAGCGACGCCGCGUGAGGGAUGGAGGCCUUCGGGUUGUAAACCUCUUUUAUCGGGGAGCAAGCGAGAGUGAGUUUACCCGUUGAAUAAGCACCGGCUAACUACGUGCCAGCAGCCGCGGUAAUACGUAGGGUGCAAGCGUUAUCCGGAAUUAUUGGGCGUAAAGGGCUCGUAGGCGGUUCGUCGCGUCCGGUGUGAAAGUCCAUCGCUUAACGGUGGAUCCGCGCCGGGUACGGGCGGGCUUGAGUGCGGUAGGGGAGACUGGAAUUCCCGGUGUAACGGUGGAAUGUGUAGAUAUCGGG
rnacentral:rRNA from 2 species